AGCUCGUCCCCCUCCAUCGCACACCGCCCCCUCCCACCGUCGCGUCGCCAGCGUCGGAUUUCAGACGUUCGGGACGAGGUCUGUGAUUGGUUGGAUGUUUUGAUGUGAGCCACCAUAGAGAGAGAGUGAGAGAGAUUUAUUUGUUUUUAUUUUAAUGUGGGCCACCAUUUUCAUAUUUAGGACUAUCCUCCACACCCUUGGAUAGUCCUCAAGAGGAUAGUCCUCUACCCAUGGUGAAGUGGCGCCUACGUAUGUGGAGAUAGUAACCACAUGACAGGAAAGAAAGAGUUCUUCACCAGUUUCAGUGAAAGAGUACCGACCCAAGUUUUUCUUUGGUGAUGGAUAAUUUGUAAAUAUUGAAGGAAAAAGGAACAUGAGUGUGCAAUGUAAGAAUGGGAAGCUCUUGAUGAAGGUUCAAAGAAGCCAGAACAAAAUGUACAUUAUUAAACUUAACAUAUGUUCUAAUCCUAACAACCUUUAUGGUGAAAAGAAAGAAAGUCUAGAUCCAAAUUCAAAGAAAGGUCAAGCUAAUGCAAGCUCAUUUAUGAGCGAAAAAGCGGAUGUGAAAGUAAGUGAUCGUAGGAUUAACGAAGGCCCAAUUCAAUUUGGGUUAGUCCAAAAAAAGAUUUGAUAGAUUUUAGUUUCCGAAGGUAACUAACUUGUUUUCCAAGUUGUUUAGUAUAAAUAGAUUAGAAGUUUCAUUGUAGUUUAUAUCCAGUUUUGGUUUUGAUUAAUAGAAAGAAAGGAUUCGGGUUAUUCUCCAA